AACGAACGCUGGCGGCAUGCCUAACACACGCAAGUCGAACGAGACCUUCGGGUCUAGUGGCGCACGGGUGCGUAACGCGUGGGAACCUGCCCUUAGGUUCGGAAUAACUCCCCGAAAGGGGUGCUAAUACCGGAUAAUGUCUUCGGACCAAAGAUUUAUCGCCUUUGGAUGGGCCCGCGUUGGAUUAGCUAGUUGGUAGGGUAAAAGCCUACCAAGGCGACGAUCCAUAGCUGGUCUGAGAGGAUGAUCAGCCACACUGGGACUGAGACACGGCCCAGACUCCUACGGGAGGAAGCAGUGGGGAAUAUUGGACAAUGGGCGAAAGCCUGAUCCAGCAAUGCCGCGUGAGUGAUGAAGGCCUUAGGGUUGUAAAGCUCUUUUACCCGGGAUGAUAAUGACAGUACCGGGAGAAUAAGCUCCGGCUAACUCCGUG
rnacentral:rRNA from 1 species